ensembl:lncRNA
UAUUUUAAAUUUUUAUUUGUCAGACUGAAGUAACAGCCUUUAUACAGCACAAUUUGCAUAAUUUCUCAAGAUACAUCCUGUAUACAAUCACAAAAACAUGACAUGGAUUUAUACAUACAGUGAAAACAGACAGAUUUACAAGCAUUUUUGUACAAUUCUCAUACCACUUUAGUUUCAGUUUUUACAACCUUCAGAGCAAGUCUGUAUUGUUUUCUCUGAUGAAUCUGGAAGCAAAAUGAAAAAUAAAAGAAAUUCAAACCAAAAUGGAUAUUAACAAAUCACCAUCUAGGCAUGCAACAUUCACUGUGGAAACAUUACAUUUCUCCAAGGACUAAUAUUUUUUUGUUAUUUUGUGGGUAUUUUUUGGUGUUUCUGGAUUUUUUAAAACAUUGGGUAUGCUGUACACUUUGUCUGUAGCAUGACAGCACACACGCUACUCAGCCACUGUUGAGCACCUGAGCACAUCACUGAACAUCAAUAAGAUACAGUCAAAUAAGGACACAUUCACAUGCUUGGAUGUUAGAUGAAGGUAGUAAUUUAAACUCGGUUUGUUUUACAAAAAUGUAUACUUAUUUACAGGGUAACAAAUUAAGAAAACGUCUUUCUCUCAAAUUUUCUAAUUUGAGUUAUGGAUAUCUAUAUAUAACUUUUGUGAUCAUCAGUAUAUUUGCUUAUUUAUUUUCUUUAAAUAAUAAAACAAAACAUACAGAAAACAUCAAAAUGCUUCUUAUGAUUUAAAGAGAGAGUAUCCGGACUCAUCUAUUCCUUCUAGUUUCCUUCUAAAGGCAACUUAUAUUCACAUAGAACGAUAGAUCCUACAUGCCAAGCGUACUGAAAAUUCACAAGGCAUGGAGGAAUAGAGUUUAAAUAUAAUGUAGAUGGAUACUUACACUAAUUUUCCUCUCUGUUUCAUUACCUUUAUAAGUUACACUCAAACGAAUGCAAAUUUUCUCUGUUAUUCACAUAGGUAUGUACAUAUCUAGAUAUAUACUCAAAUAAUGGAAUCUGGGACAUUCAACAUUGUAGCAAUGAAAAUAAAGUACUUAAAAAUAGUGUCAGUUAUGAUUCAAAUAAUAAUUUAAAAAAAUACUAUUAACAUCUUUAUGAUAUCUCCAUGAAACUAAAUCCUAAUUAAAUAAUCUCUAUUGGGCACACACUACCUUACAAUAUAGUAGAUGUCUUCUUUUUCUUCAUCAUCAUCCUCAAAGAAAGGAUCAUUAUCAGCUGGUUACCAGCUACCAUAUCCCACAACCAUGCAGACACCCAGCAUCCAGAAAAAUAACUCAGAUAUUUCCUAGGUCUUGAUUUAAAGCCAGGUUAAGUCAAGAGAACAGUUGUUUCUGACUUCAACUGGUUUGGAUUGGGUUUUUGUUUCUUCCACAAUAGAUCCAUGCAAUGUAAAAAUGUGGGUAAUAAAGAAGCAGCACUCAUUGCCCCUGGAUACUAUCCCUUUAAAGUGUAAUGAUAAAAAGAACUAGCUCAACAUUCAUCAUAGAAACUCUCAUGUCUAUUUUUAAUCUGGAAAAAAACCCAUAUGUAGUUAAUUGCUGCUCAUUGUAUGCAUAAUAAUAAUGACCAUGUUAGAAAUCCCUGUCAUUUGUAAACACACACACUGUGCUUUUGCUCAUUUUUCAGCUUGUUUCCACUACACAAGGCUUUGAACAAAGAAGCAGCUUCAAUCUCCGUCGACUCAGCAAAUUUGUGAAUAAAAAAGUUUAAAUGCCUGUGCUAUUGCCUACCUGAACUAUGCAUCUUUAAAGCAAUUGUCAGAAUGUGCAAACUCAUUAAUAACCAAUCACUCAUAUAUGAUAAAAGCAGAUGUCACAUCUAAGCAUUUUUUUGGCCAGAUAACAGAAACAAAAAAUAAUGAGAAAAAAGUGAAAAAAAUAUACCAAGAUAUAUACAAAAAGUAAAAAAAUACUAAUAGUCCUUGUUUGAUUAUUUUUUAAAAAACAUUGUCACAAGAGAGUUUUUCCUGACUUCAUUCAUAAAACAAGGGAAAAAAAAAAGGAAAAAAAACGCAUUCAAAUAUGAAUCUGUGUUGCAUAGAGUGAUUCCAGUACAACCUAGAAAUUUGGUCAAAAAAAGGAACUUGGCACACUUUGGACACAUCUUCUGAACUCUGAAUGAUGCUGCCUAGAAAAAGAGAGAGUGUGGGCCCAGGUCUGUCCCUGUUCUGUCCUGUGCAACACCUAAGGAGCACCAUCCUUGCUGCAGCUGGCCAAGGCUGGCCUCACUCCUGACAAACUCUGCUCUUUGCUUUUCAUGAUGGGAAUCCAAAACUGCAAUUUCAACAUCCAGAAACAUGUUGUGUGUUGUUCAGAGAAUCAAAGAUGCUUGAAUUAAACCAGUUGCUGACAGCUGAUUAGCAGGCAAAGAUAGCUGUUCCAUACAGCCACAGCUAUACCAACCAACACGACUAUUUUAUAAAAAUAUUGGCCACAUUUGUAUACAUUAUGAGAGCAAAGCACACCUGUCCUCUUUCUCAAUUAAGAGAGAUGACUACAGGAUUCCCAGGAAGACAGCCAGAUAGUUCUCAUUCCUCCAUAACAACUACCACCAUGACUUGCUGUCUUUAUAAUAAAUCUUUGCAAGAACAAAAUUACCAGCAGUUUGCACAAAAUUGCACACCUCAUGGCUUGUACUUUGCACAGUUAUUGAAACUGGACUUUUUUUUUUUUUUUUUUUUUUUAAGAAACAACAACCACAGCAUAGCCGUCAGGAAUGCAAGAUAACCCACCAAAAGAUAAACACACAUGUCAAAUAUAUCCACAUACAUUUUUUUUUGUUUGUUUGAAAAGGGUCGUUUUCUUUGAAAUAUUUAUCCUCUUAUAAAAGCAUACAUAACAUCAAAACAUACAGGAUGUUUACAGUAACUCUAGAGGACUUUUAAAAUGUAAGAGAGGUGGGGUACACACAUACUGGUGAAAGCAUAAAAUUCAGCAUUAAAGCACACCCCCUACUUCCACUAUCAGUGGCAUUGUGUUUAACAAGUAGGAUUUAGAUAAGAAUCCUCUGCUUGCAAGUCAAGCAGGCUACCAUCAGGUUAUCAACAGCUUAAUGGGAGUUUUUCUUGUGCAUAUAUCUUUAAUAUUUUCUGUGUGUUUCUUGUCAUAUUUCUUUUCCACGCUGUUAUUUUAAGUUGGUAAAGAUAAAUCAAAAACUCUAUGUGGGAAAUGUCACUGGAUUAACUGGUGUGUGGUUUUAUAAUGGUCAGUCCAAGUUCAGAAUGAGAUAAGUUUUAUUUUUUCUUUUAUUUUUUCUUUUUUUAAGUAUGUGUUAUUGUCAAAAAUAAUAUUUUCAUCUGGUCUUGUACAACCCGUGGAAGUGUACUACAUAAAAAUAUCUUCAGAAAACAGAUGAAGAUGCACGUUAAAUGAUUUGUGAAAAGUCCUUAUUGGUCAAGAAAAUCAAAGUCUGAAGUGCACAAAUAAGAUCAUUUUCUUUUUCAGUAUGUAAAGGUCAUGAGGUAAUAUUUUAAGGGAAACUACUUUCUAAUGAAGCUGUGAAAUAUUAGCUGACUUCUGAGAAACAGGGGAGUUAGUACCACAUUGACUUGUUUUUAAAGGAACUGCUUUCCCUUAAAAGCUCUUCUUUUUCUUCAAAAAACUUUAAGAGGAUGUCACGGAGUUACCUAGAUAGAUCUGUGCCCGUGACAGGGGGCCGGUAGGCUUGUGGGCCCCCCUCCCCCUUCACUUCCCGAGAAAAACGAAGCGGUGGCAACAAUCUAAGAAGGAGAACUUAUUUUACUAACUAUGAUGUUGAGAUGCAAGAUGACACGAUACAAUACAAUCUAAUUGGGAG